AUGGGGGGCAGAAUUGAGAAAAAAUAUGAGGUCCUGGAGGAUAUACUUGCUGGAGUUGUGAUGCCGAGAGAUCUGCCACUAGCACUUCUAGAGGAUAUCACGGAUCAUUUCUCAGAUAAAAGAAUAAUUGGCAAGGGGGGAUUCGCAAUGGUUUACAAGGGUGUCCUCGGAAACAAGAAUGUUGCUGUGAAGAAGAUUUCUGUGAACAAAGACACAGUCAGUGAGAAGUUAUUUCAUCGUGAGGUUGCUAGCCUGAUGAAGAUAGAAAAACAUCAAAACUUAGUCCGGUUUCUGGGCUUCUGUUCUAAUAAAGCUCGUGUCGUGGAAGAACAGACAGGAUCAGAAGAACCAAUUUACUUUCAAAUUAUGGAUAUAUUACUCUGUUUCGAGUACAUCAGCAACGGAAGCCUUGAUAAACAUAUUACCGAUGAACUUCGUGGACUCACAUGGGAUACACGUUUUGAUAUAAUCAGAGGAAUUUGUGAGGGUAUGCGUUAUCUUCAUGAGGAUAAAUCUAUCAUUCAUAUGGAUCUGAAACCAGCAAACAUACUACUUGAUGAUCAUAUGAUACCAAAAAUUACGGAUUUUGGUCAGUCAAGAUUCGCUGAAAACACACAUACUAAGGAAAUUUUUAUAACACCAAAAUAUGGCGCUCCAGAAUACCUGAAAGAUGGCAGAACGUCAAAAAAGGCUGAUAUAUAUAGUUUGGGUGUUGUUAUUCGAGAACUGGUGACAGGAAGUGAGGACAGUCGAGAUACAGCCCAUGUACUUCGAAGGUGGACACACAGGUGGCAUAAACAGCAGACACAACACCAAUACCAACAAGUAAUUAAAUGCAUGGAAAUAGCGGUACGCUGCAGUGAACAUGAACCAGAAAAUAGGCCUUCUAUCAGUGAUAUAAUCCGCGGUCUAAGCGAAAUAGAAAGUACAAAUGGGCCCAUUGACCAGAUGAGCCUAUAUCAGUAUGAUGACAUGCUUGGGAUUGAGCCACUCGAGCUAUGUUUCUCUUUGGAACAUAUAUCGUGCUUAGUUGAGCUAACCAACGAGACAACUAAUUCCAUCGCCUUCAACAUCGGAAGGCCAAGCAAACAGUACAGCACUCAGCCUGACAAAGGCAUUGUGCCGCCAGGAUGCAAGCGCGAUGUGAAGAUAACACUGCAACCACAUGAGAGUGCAACACAAGUUACGAGUUCUGAUAAGCUCGUCGUAAAGAGCACACAAGUGAGUGUGGGUGUAGCAGAUCAUAAUAUUACUUCUGACAUGUUCAUAACCAAGGGUGGCAAAAACGUGGUUGAUAAAGUCAGUUUGAUGGUUCUAUAUCAGCCCAAGACAAUUAAUCUGCAAGAAGAGGCAGUCCCUGAGGACAUUGGGUCUAGUAGCCGUAAUAAGAAAAUACGUAGGUUAAGUACACCACAACUAUUGUACUUCGACCUAGUUGAAAGCAUUCCACGGAAUCUAGCCACUGGCUUGAUGAGCGACCAAACCGUGGAUCUCGCAACAGGAGCCAUCGGAAGCCUGCUUGCCAAGCUGAGUGAGCUCCUCAACAUGUACAAUCUGGAGGCGAGCAUUAGGAGCGAUGUGGAUUGUGUCAUACAUGAGCUAAGAGUCAUGCGCGCUGACCUCUGCAAUGUUUCAGAGGUGCAGUGGGACAGCAACAAUGAGAAUAUCAAAUUAGCCAAACUUUGGGCUGGCGAAGUUAGGGAAUUGUCAUAUAACAUAGAGGAUGUCGUCGAUGGCUUCCUGAUACACGCCAAGGGCUCAGAACCCGCCACCCGUAUUGGAGGGUUGAUAGAGUCCAUAAAAAGGAUAAUGGGCCUGUUCAUGUCGGGAAGUUCGACCAGUCACCAGAUUGGUGGCGCGAUCAAAGACAUCAAGAACAAAGUCCAGCAUCAGUCUAGCUGGAAGGGAAAGUACAAGGUCGAAGAGGUCAAAAAGGUUGCAAAUACAGUUUCCACAAUCAAUGCCCAUUAUCUAUCAGCUUUGGUGAAAGAUCGCGACAAACUCUUUGGCAUCGACGAUGCAAUAAACGACCUCACCAAGAGGUUAAGAGGUGCAGAUGGCAAUGGGGACAUGUAUGGGCUCAAGAUACACUCCAUUUUUGGUAUUGGAGGACUGGGCAAGACCACACUUGCCAGAGCUGUGUAUAAUCAGCUCAAAGGGUCCUUCCGUUUGACUGCUUUUGUUUCACUGGGUCGGAAUCCCGAUGUGAAGAAACUCUUCUACGACAUUCUAUUUGAACUUGACGAACCAAGGCAUACAAAAUUGAAGCCAGCAAAUUUGGAUGAAAGCCAGCUUAUACGUGUACUCACAGACCUGCUCAAGAACAACAGGUACCUCAUUGUUAUCGAUGAUAUGUGGGACACAAAAGUAUGGCAUGAUUUUAUCAAAUUUGCUUUUCUUGGUAGCAAAUGCGGAAGUAAAAUAAUCAUAACUACACGUAUAUUUGAAGUUGCCGCAAUAGCUACUGAUGUAUACAAGCUGAACCCUCUUUCUGAUGGUUAUUCUGAAGAGCUAUUCUAUGCAACACUGUCUCCUGAGGAAGGCUGUGAGUAUGAUUUAACAGAUGGGGUAAUUGAAAAGAUUUUAUCAAAAUGCGAUGGUGUGCCAUUAGCUAUAAUUACAAUAGCUAGUAUGUUGGGCAGUAAACAGAGGGAGGAUUGGCCUAAGGUGUACAACUCUAUUGGUUUUGGGACUGAGGUUACCGAAGAUGUCGAUAACACAAGGAAGAUAUUGUUGUUUAGCUAUAGUGAUCUUCCACGCCAUAUAAGGACAUGCUUAUUGCAUCUAAGCAUAUAUCCAGAGAACUAUUUUAUCUGCAAAGACACGGUGAUAUGGAUGUGGGUUGCCGAAGGUUUUGUUCAUGACGAAUCAGGGAGAAGUUUAUUUGAGAUUGGGGAGAGAUAUUUCAAUCAGCUCGUCAAUAGAAGCAUGGUCCAGCUGGUGGCAAAUCCGCGCUACCUGGUCAGCACAAUGAUUCAUUUCCGUAUCCAUGAUUUGGUGCUUGAUAUGAUUUGUGCAUUGUCAAAGGAUGAAAACUUUGUUACUUUAUUGGAAAUAGAUGAGCAACACACAUCUUUAAAGAACAAUGCUCGUAGAUUAGCUGUCCAAAAGAGAGACAUUGAGAAGCUAGACCCUCCAACUAUUAAUUGCCACGGGCUGAGAUCAUUUUAUGCCAUUGGCUGCCAUAUUGAUGUGAUGCAACCACUUUCAAGAUUUAAAGUAUUACGCGUCCUAUCUUUGGCAGGAUGUAGAAUUAAUGAAGAUCAGCCUUAUCAGCUUGAACAUAUUGGGAAUCUACUUCAGUUGAGGUAUCUCGGACUAGAGAGAAUGCCUAUUUGUAAGCUCCCUGAAGAAAUUGGAGAUCUCCUUUUUCUGCAAACCUUGGUUCUGAAGGGAACUAAGAUAAAAGAACUGCCACAUAGUGUGGGCCUGCUUAGACAACUGAAGUGUCUGUGUGCUCCCAAAGUUAAAGUUCCUGAUUGGCUGGUGAACAUGACAUCUCUAGAAGACCUAAAGUUGGAUGCACUAAUGCCCUUUGUUUUUGCUGAAGGGCUGAUCAAUCUAAAAGAGCUUAGAGACCUCCAGAUUCAGAGUUAUCGUUCAUUUGGUGAUAAUUCGGACAGAGCUUUGGUGAAGUCUAUAGGGAAUUUGCAUAAACUCCAAAGCCUAAUACUAAUUAACUUCAUGGACAAUGCUGACGAGAUCUGGGAAGGCUUUGUUCCCCCUCGACAUCUCCAUAGCAUGAACAUGUACGUGGGAUUUUAUGGUGUCCCUCCUUGGAUGGAUCCAACACAUCUUCCAAGCCUCUCCGUCCUUCAGUUGCAUUUGUGUAGUAUGGAGGCACGCUGUCUAGAGAUCCUUGGGAGGUUACCCGAACUACAUACCCUCAAACUGCAGACCGGAGAGGGGAGCUGGCUUACGGUCACGGGCAGUGGUGCAUUCCCCAAGUUGAGGCACUUGCGUAGUAGUCGCGCAAUGCUGAGAUUUCAGCGGGGAGUUAUGACACGGCUUGAAUACCUUGAGCUCGAGGUCCGUGUACCGGAAUUGAAAAAGGCCAAGUUUGACUGCGACUUUACUAGCUUGGGGAACCUCCCUUUGCUUCAGAAAUUAAGUGUUCAUCUGACGUGUAAGGCCGACGAUCCUGAAUACGGGAAGAGGAUGGAGGUAGCAGUGAAGCACGCAAUUGAUAGGCAUCCACACCGUCGUCCCAUCCUUCACUGGAUUCAUUAG
rnacentral:rRNA from 1 species